rnacentral:rRNA from 1 species
UACGUAGGUGGCAAGCGUUGUCCGGAUUUACUGGGCGUAAAGAGCGCGCAGGCGGUCGUUCAAGUCGCGUGUGAAAGCCCCCGGCUCAACUGGGGAGGGUCACGCGAUACUGAUCGACUCGAAGGCAGGAGAGGGUAGUGGAAUUCCCGGUGUAGUGGUGAAAUGCGUAGAUAUCAAGAGGAACACCUGAGGUGAAGACGGGUUGCUGGGCUGAUACUGACGCUGAUGCGCGAAAGCUAGGGUAGCAAACGGG